UACAGAGGGGGCAAGUGUUAUUCGGAAUUAUUGGGCGUAAAGGGCGCGUAGGCGGCUUGGCAAGUGGAUGGUGAAAUCCCUCGGCUUAACCGAGGAACUGCCGUCCAAACUGCUUCGCUUGAGACCGGGAGAGGUGAGUGGAAUUCCCAGUGUAGCGGUGAAAUGCGUAGAUAUCAGGAGGAACACCGGUGGUGUAGACGGCUCUCUGGACCGUAACUGACGCUGAGGCACGAAAGCGUGGGUAGCAAACAGG
rnacentral:rRNA from 1 species